rnacentral:rRNA from 1 species
AUUGAACGCUGGCGGCAGGCCUAACACAUGCAAGUCGAGCGGAUGAAGGGAGCUUGCUCCUGGAUUCAGCGGCGGACGGGUGAGUAAUGCCUAUGAAUCUGCCUGGUAGUGGGGGAUAACGUCCGGAAACGGGCGCUAAUACCGCAUACGUCCUGAGGGAGAAAGUGGGGGAUCUUCGGACCUCACGCUCUCAGAUGAGCCUAGGUCGGAUUAGCUAGUUGGUGGGGUAAAGGCCUACCAAGGCGACGAUCCGUAACUGGUCUGAGAGGAUGAUCAGUCACACUGGAACUGAGACACGGUCCAGACUCCUACGGGAGGCAGCAGUGGGGAAUAUUGGACAAUGGGCGAAAGCCUGAUCCAGCCAUGCCGCGUGUGUGAAGAAGGUCUUCGGAUUGUAAAGCACUUUAAGUUGGGAGGAAGGGCAGUAAGUUAAUACCUUGCUGUUUUGACGUUACCAACAGAAUAAGCACCGGCUAACUUCGUG